rnacentral:SRP_RNA from 1 species
GCCAGGUGUGGUGGCACACGCCUAUAGUCCCAGCUACUUGGGAGGCUGAGGUGGGAGGAUCACUUGAGCCCAGGAGUUAGAGGCUACAGUGAGCUAUGGUCAUGCCACUGCACUCCAGCCUGGGCAACAGAGUGAGACCCUGCCUCUG